AGGAAAAAAUGCUUAACGUAUAACGCGCUCGACGAAUAAAGGCUGCGAGGGUCGCGGAGAGAAGCUAGAGCCUCGGCUGAAGCUCCCCCACCGUCCGAGUGGCCCCUAGAGAUUUGGCAAUGCCGUUCGUUAGCCUCACGGACGGUUGCGCUGUUGCCAAGUCGCCGAAGUAAAGGAGAGGGCAUGGCUACGGGAAGGCUCUCGCAUCUAUUAUAUAUAAUAGCCCUUGGCGUGGGCGCCAUCGUUAUUAGAAAUCCAUCUAACGCCCCCGCACUAAACGGCACAUGAGAGGUCAGGUGAAUCGACACUUAUCUCUACACCUACACGUUUCAUUCUUGAUUAAAGUUUUUCUGGUGUCCGAUGAAGAGAACCGGAAAAGCGGGCUCGCGUAACCUCGACAGCGUUUUCUUUGGUCUCUGAUGAUGUUUGUUUUUUUUACGCGAUAUAAUUUCAUCGAAAUAUGAAUUGUUCAGCGACUCGUUGUUACCGAGGUAUUCGCAUACCUGUACGCAUACGUGCGUAAUAAUACCUACUGAUAAAAGCCAGAGAACACUGAAGGCCAGUGUCGUCUCACGGAAAAAACGAUGCGAACGAAUAAAUUAGUUGUUCCGGUGAUGUCUGUUGUAUGUAUAACAUAGCUAGGCAAAAUAUUUCGACCUACAUCUAUGAUAGAUUGUUGAAAUUGACAAUUUGAAAAUGUUCUUGAAACUUUCAACACUAUGCAGGUUUAUAACAGUAACGUAUAGACAAGGCCACCAGUGAGAAGGAGGAAUAAACUAUAAUGAAAUGUACUUUACUCUUUACUAGCUCUUUAUUUUACAGGGAAGUAAAAUCAAGUAAGUUUUAUUUGGGGCUGCUUCAUCCAGCAAGUGAAGAUGAAAUUUUGACGAAUCCCAACGCGUAGGGACGGUCAAACCGCAGUUCUUUGUUGAGCUGAGCAGGUGGCGAGGUAAAUCCUUUUUGCUUCUGGAAAUUCAAGCAUAUCCGGUCUUCUGUAGCUUCAGUCUGAAAUAUCCCAGGUAAGCUCAGUUCACCCUGGGCACGCAGCGAGGUGAGCUGUGCUGUCGUGUCAUCUGACUCAGAUGGAGAUAACAGCACCGUCGCUGCUCACAAAAACUCUCUGCACCGGCAUUUCGCCUCAUGUUCGUCAUAGCAGCUGCCCGCAAUUAUCCUUCGUGCGAAUCGAUGCGGUGCGGCGAGAAAAAUACGGAGGUAAAAGAAACGCAAAUGGACGCAAGACACACGAAACUGAUAAUUGCUCUUAGAAGAAACUUUUACACCUAUGCGAUGUGUAUGUAUAUACAUGCUGUUUACAUGGACAAGGCUUCCCACGUGUUCUUCGAUUAUUCCAUUUUCUACUAUGUACACGAUAACAUAAAAGAUACGGAAUGGUCAUGAAAAGAAGAUGUCGGAAUUCUUUGGCAGAUGUAUUUUAGUUGUUUGCCUUGCUUCGCCACCUCGACUCGUGUAUCUUAUUAACCAUGAACUCACCGCGGGUAAUGUUAAACGCUGAUAUCUGAAAAAUUUAAUGUUCGGUGGUAUCGCUCUGUAACCCACGGUGUCGUCCGUGAGGCUAGUUUGGUGUUAGAAAUAUUCACGACUUGAUAGCUGUUUAGGAAUUAUAAAGGAAAAAUAACCCCAACAUCUUCGUUAUUAUUUAUAUUAUGAGGUUGAAGUCAGUGACGUUAGCAUAAAAAC